GUAGGUGGCAAGCGUUGUCCGGAAUUAUUGGGCGUAAAGCGCGCGCAGGCGGUUCUUUAAGUCUGAUGUGAAAGCCCACGGCUCAACCGUGGAGGGUCAUUGGAAACUGGAGAACUUGAGUACAGAAGAGGAAAGCGGAAUUCCACGUGUAGCGGUGAAAUGCGUGGAGAUGUGGAGGAACACCAGUGGCGAAGGCGGCUUUCUGGUCUGUAACUGACGCUGAGGCGCGAAAGCGUGGGGAGCAAACAGGAUUAGAUACCCUGGUAGUCCACGCCGUAAACGAUGAGUGCUAAGUGUUAGGGGGGUUUCCGCCCCCCUUAGUGCUGCAGCUAACGCAUUAAGCACUCCGCCUGGGAGUACGGCCGCAAGGCUG
rnacentral:rRNA from 1 species